CAACUACUCCCUCUGUCCCAAAAUUCUUGUGUUAGAUUUGUCUAGAUACGGAUGUAUCAAGUCACAUUGACUUGAUACAUCCGUAUCUAGAAAAAUCUAAGACAAGAAUUUUGGGACAGAGGGAGUACUUU
rfam:Triticum aestivum genome assembly, contig: Triticum_aestivum_CS42_TGACv1_scaffold_406128_5BL